rnacentral:ncRNA from 1 species
UUGAAUAAAUAAGAAGAGAGUGCCCAGGAGUUAUAAAACUCCGGGAUAAUAGGGAAAUCGGUGAAAGUCCGAUGCAGCCCCCGCUACUGUAAACGGUGAUGAAAUUGUCAACAGCCACUGGCGUGAUGCCGGGAAGGGACAAGAGUAAAGCGAUCCGCAAGCCAGGAGACCUGCUUUCUUCUUCGAACCAUC